GGAUGUGAGCUUGAGUCUGAAUAAACGGCCCUCGCUGCUUUCUCAAUCAGUCAAUCCGCCUUAGCAGUAAAGGUGCCGACGGAGAGUGUGGCCUUAAUCUCAGGCAUAAUUAUCAAUCGUGAGGAAGAGAAAAAAAGGCCAGCAGACUCAGCCCCUUAUUAUCCCCGAGAGCGUGUAUAAACGCCGGGGUGAAAGGGGGAAACGCAAACGCUGAAUACACACGCUUAUGCGCAGAGUCCUCUUGCAUUCUGCUGCGUAGCCGCGGGGAUUUAGGGGGACUUAAUGCCUUAAAAACUGUCCCCUCGUCCACAUGACGUUCAGACUGCGAGAGCUCAAGUUGAUACACCGAAUUGUAAGCAGAGCUGAUUGGAGAGCAGAGCCACAGGGCUAGAUUAAGGCCUUCUAUAAGACAUGCUGGAGGAACGGCGGAGCGCUAUUAUGCAGCGGGGCAGCCGCGCACAGGCAGCCUGCAUUAGUGCUUUUACCACUGUGUUUUUAUAUAUAGUUAAACACGCAUUACGAGCAUCCGGGACUCUUACGCGUGGGAGGGAGGACGAGUACAGCCCAAGAGUUAGCCUAUACUUUUAAAGAUGUCCUGAAAGACAGAGGACCUGAGCGCGAGCGGGGAGGAUGGUCACGACUCAGCAGUGAACAGGAGCCAAGUGACAAACAACCGGAUUCAAUUAAAACACAGUCUACACUUCAUAUCAGCAGCGUGAGGAGUGCUGUCCGUGCUGCUGUGCUGAGUGCGUGUGUGGUAGAACCUGCCCUGCAGUGCGGAGAUCACCCUUCUCUCUGAGUUCAAAGGCACAGGAGCUCAGAGGGCUGGAUUUGUUCAGGCAUAUUUGCUAAACCCGUGGAUUUGAAUUGUAGUGUUCGAGGCCCUGAGAUCACGUUUAAGAAAUGUUACAUUGUGAGAUUUUCUGUGAAAUCCCCAUAAUAAAUUCACCAAGUGUGCACAAGAAAUGGC